UACGUAGGGGGCAAGCGUUGUCCGGAUUUAUUGGGCGUAAAGAGCGUGUAGGCGGCCUUACAGGUCAGCUGUGAAAACUCGAGGCUCAACCUCGAGACGUCGGUUGAAGCCGUAUGGCUAGAGUCCGGAAGAGGAGAGUGGAAUUCCCGGUGUAGCGGUGAAAUGCGCAGAUAUCGGGAAGAACACCCGUGGCGAAGGCGGCUCUCUGGGACGGUACUGACGCUGAGGCACGAAAGCGUGGGGAGCAAACAGG
rnacentral:rRNA from 1 species